rnacentral:lncRNA from 1 species
AUAUAUAUAUAUAAAUGCACCCACCUCUUUCUUAGGAUCUGAAUUCAGUCAAUGUUCAGUCCAAAAUGAAGAAAGGUUCUGGUAAAGGAUCUAAAAACAAACGAAAAUCAAAACCUGGCAAAUGUCUGUUAAAAAGAACCAAAGUUGAAGGGGACCCUGAAUCAGAAAACAUACCUCCUUGUCCAACACCAUCACAAAAUAAAACUGCUAGAGACCAUAUAAGGACCAUUUUAGCUGACACUCCAUCCCACCUAAACAUCACUGCUUCAGCGGAUCAUGGAAGUCCAGUCUCUGCUCCAACAAUCAGCCAGACAAGUGUGACAGGAAACCUAACUAUAAAUCAGACCUUUACAGUGGUCGUGCAGAAUCCCGCUGAUAGUUCUUUGAACCACUUGGACGUUAAAGAGAGAACAGAUGAUGAAUAUCAGAUUCUGCCUUCAAGCAGCACUGAACAGGUCCCUGGAAAAUGUAAAAGCUCAAAUCGUCGUCGACACCUGUCCUUCAGAAAUCAUCUGGAACAACCUACAUUAACUCUUGCAGAGGUGAAAAAGAACACAAAUCAUUUAAGAGAGGUUACUGUUGCUGGAAAGAUCUUAGACCGGCAGCCUGCAAUCAUCAUUCUACCCAACGAAGAAGGAGUGCGUUAUUCUCAUUAUAUUCUUUCUGAUACCACUGCAAAUGUUCAUCUGAGUUUAGCACAUGAAUUUAAUAUAGCCAUCAAUCAGUGGUAUGUAUUUAAAAGUCUUUCCAUUUGUGACUUUGGAAUGGGGAAUGUGCUUUGCUCAAAUGAAUUCACCAAAUUGGAGGAAAUUUCUUCUUUAGAAGGCCGGGAUCCAAAAGAGACGGUCAUCUCAGGGGUGGUCACUGAGGCACUACUGACCGUUAAAUACAUCUGUUCAUGUGGUGCCACUCUCUUGCUCUCUGAUACCAAAUUAUUCUGGAUUAAAUGCAAGGAGUGCAGCAAAAGCUGCCGAUGUGUAAACAUUCAAAACAAAGCCACGGCCAACAUAACCAUCAAACAGCUGGAUGGAAGAGAUGAGAGAGUGGUGUUACACGAUGCGCUGCUGCACUCCAUUGUCAGCUUCAAGAAUGAGGGAUACUGUGAUAGUCAGCAGUUAGAGGAGCGUCUGCUGAAAGCUGAGAGAUUGACUGUGGUCUGUGUAAACGAUGAGCCUCAGAGUGUUCAAAUAGAAGAACUGGGAAAAUCCAAGCAUGUGGCAAAGCACUUUUUCUCUUUGGGAAGAUGUUGUGUUGUGUGA